GGGCGUGGCCAAGCGGUAAGGCAACGGGUUUUGGUCCCGUUACUCGGAGGUUCGAAUCCUUCCGUCCCA
rnacentral:tRNA from 1 species